AGUAUUGUGAUGACAGGGACAGUACCAACGCUAUCUUACCCCCAGAGAGCCGGCUAGGGUGAAAACCGGCGGAAGAUGGUUUGGGAAAGCCACCCUUGAGCUGUAGGCUGAAAUCAAGUAAGCUUUUACCGUUACCUGGCGUUAACAGGCAAAGUGAGCCUUUAUGGCUAAGCUAGGUGGUACCGCGGGAAUUAUAAUCUCGUCCUUUUU
rnacentral:ncRNA from 1 species